UUUAAACCUUCAUUAUUUUCUACAACAAUAACAGCUUGUUCGUGAGCGGAGUCCGCUGCAUUCCGGCGAACUCGUCAUAAUGGCAUGUGAGCACAUGUUAAACAGUUGGGGUGUGUAAGCUUUUCUGGUUAUUUUAUCAACGAUAAUCGCAGCAACAUUGCAGCCAUAUGGCUUGCUCUAUAAAAGUUUUGCACUUAAUUUCCGCCAAAGCUUCACAGUGGAAUGCUGUAGAACAGAGUAGAACACUAGAACUACAUUCGUGUUACAUACUGUAUAUCUUCGUAUAAAAAGAGGAAGGGGGACCUAGAGUGUAGGAGGGAGCAUUGAAGGAGAGGGAGGGAGAACGCUGGAUACCACACAUCUUUCCAUCCUACGUUCCCCACUCGCAUUUGAGGAAAUUGGAACUCUGUUAAGCCCAUUUACCUCGGGAGAUGCAUACGAUGCGCCACGCACGUUGCCUCAAAGGAAACGGACUGACUGCUGAGAACGACCGAGAGUAUUCCUGAAUUAACGAGGGACACCUGACCAAGUUUACCAGCCUCCACACCUCUCUACUGGACAGUGACCAGCCUCCACGCCUCUCUACUGGACAGUGACCAGCCUCCAUUCUCUACUGGAUACUGGCCAGCCUCCACUCCUCUCCACAUGACACUGACCAGCCUCCAGGCCCUCUACAGGAUAUCCAGCCUCCAGUCUCUAAAGGACAGUGACUUCCAGUCUCUUCUACAGGAUCGUGAAAGCAUCCUUGUUACUUGGAAUGUGAUGGAGCCAGUGAUGUGAACUGUGACAUGCUGGAAGUUUUGUGGUUGUUCUGUCUGCCUAUCCUCGGGCAGCCACUCCCAGACCCGCUAUGCAGCCAGGAGAGGGUCGAGAAUGUUAACAAGAUAAAAAACGAGCUGUCCAAGGUGUCAGAGGGAGUGAACCUCACUCUGUACACGCCCACCACCAACGCCAUGGGGUGCGUGCGUGUUUGUGUGCAUGUGUCUGUGUGUGUGUGUGUGUGUGUGUGUGUGUGUGUGUGUGUAACGGCGUCUGUGCGAGUCUUCAGCAGAGUUGUCGAAAUGCCUCUCUGAAGUGCUUCUCGGACGAGGUGAAGGUCCUGUCUAUAGAGCUGGACGUGGCAGGAGAGUCUCUACAAAAGUUGGUCACGAGAAUGAAAAGAACCCUAUCAUACCUUUCCAAUUGCACUUCUGUCUGACUGCCUGUGUGUGUGUGUGUGUGUGUGUGUGUGUGUGUGUGUGUGUGUGUGUGUGUGUGUGUGUGUGUGUGUGUGUGUGUGUGUGUGUGUGUGUGUGUGUGUGUGUGUGUGUGUGUGUGUGUGUGUGUGUCCAGGUGCCGGAGGCCAGCUGUGAGCUUAUGUCCUGUGAGCUUCAUCCCGAGAUGUCAGCGGAUAGUUUCCUCAAGAAUCUAGGCAAAAUCUUUGAGCAGAUGAACUCUUCCUACUGUACGAAACAACAGCUGCAAUGAUGGAGGCUUGUUGGAGGAGGAGGAUGGCUGAUAAGCUGACCAAUGUACUAUAACCGCUAUUGGUUAGUGUUUGUUAUUGGUUGGUUCAGUUUCACACAUUCCUGUCUCAAUUAUGGGAUGAGUAUAUAUUUUAUUUAACUACUUAGAUAAUGACUGGUACAUAUACAUUUCAGCACAAACUGCCAAUCAUAUGGUAUGUUAAUAAAAUCUGUGGUGUUAUA